CGAGAUUGGAAGAAGCUCUUUCACCUCAAAGCCUUUUACAAUUACCGGCUCAUCUGUGAUGACAUUGAGAUGAUGUGUUUGCCUAAACACCUGGCUAUCUACUGACGUGACACCAAUCACUUCCAUUUUGUGUCUGAUACAUAAUUCAUAUACUUCGGUUUACUUCCAUCUCUUCAAGUAAGCAGGUAUUGCCACAGUGAAAUAAAAUGGCGGAUAUUAAAUUGGAAGGAGAUACAAGCUUAUUUCCAGCAAAUAGUCACUAAAAUGAGAUUGUACCUCUCAGUGUCCAGCAGCAAGUAAUGGAUACAACCUGUGACUGUUUCUACACUAUACUACAGUUCCUCCCUCCGUCCCCCAUGUGUCUCCCUCUCUAUCUCACACUGGAGCUCCAUCAAUAUGUGUUUCCUGUAAUGAAUACGUUUCAAAACUCCUCUCGUCAAAAUAUAUUUUUCAGUGCUAACUAUAAUAAUU